rnacentral:rRNA from 1 species
AUGCGAGUGCUUGAUGCGGUUGGCGGUGACGCCCUCGGCGGUAAGCCACACGGCGGAGCUAGUGUUGUGGCUAGAGGUUGGCUAAUCACAGGAACGCCAUAUCGGCAUGCUUUCCACGCAGUCACGACAAGGAGGACAGGAAGGACGAGCGUGAGGAGAAACGAACGAAGAAGAGAAACUGUAUGGGAUCGGGUAUAUGUAAAUCGCGUUUUUGAAAAAACGACUAAUACUCGUUUUUCUAUAAACGCAAAAUUCUGGGUUUUACGAGAACUGAGUUUCCUAUAA